GUGGGGAAUUUUGGACAAUGGGGGCAACCCUGAUCCAGCCAUCCCGCGUGUGCGAUGAAGGCCUUCGGGUUGUAAAGCACUUUUGGCAGGGAAGAAAAGUUUCGGGCUAAUACCCUGGAGCGAUGACGGUACCUGCAGAAUAAGCACCGGCUAACUACGUGCCAGCAGCCGCGGUAAUACGUAGGGUGCAAGCGUUAAUCGGAAUUACUGGGCGUAAAGCGUGCGCAGGCGGUUCGGAAAGAAAGAUGUGAAAUCCCAGGGCUUAACCUUGGAACUGCAUUUUUAACUGUCGAACUCGAGUAUGUCAGAGGGGGGUAGAAUUCCACGUGUAGCAGUGAAAUGCGUAGAGAUGUGGAGGAAUACCGAUGGCGAAGGCAGCCCCCUGGGAUAAUACUGACGCUCAUGCACGAAAGCGUGGGGAGCAAACAGGAUUAGAUACCCGUGUAGUCC
rnacentral:rRNA from 1 species